rnacentral:sRNA from 1 species
AAAACCAAAAAAAAAAAAAAAUAAAGAAAAAAGAAAAACAGAAAAAC